rnacentral:rRNA from 1 species
GACGUAGGGAGCGAGCGUUGUCCGGAAUCAUUGGGCGUAAAGAGCGCGCAGGCGGUUCGGUAAGUCGGUUGUGAAAUCCCGGGGCUCAACCCCGGAAUCGCGACCGAUACUGCCGGACUAGAGGUAGGUAGGGGAGAUCGGAAUUCCUGGUGUAGCGGUGGAAUGCGCAGAUAUCAGGAGGAACACCGGUGGCGAAGGCGGAUCUCUGGGCCUUACCUGACGCUCAGGCGCGAAAGCUAGGGGAGCGAACAGG